ACGGGAAGCGGGAGAGAGACAGAUGUCGUCCUCUUCCCUCGAAAACUGUUUAAGAGAGAGACAGAGUGAGUGAGAGAGAGAGAGAGGGCUUUAGACAGAGAACAGAGAGAGAAAGCUUUGAGAGGGGAGAGAAACAGAAAGCUUUGAAGGGGAGAGAGAGAGAGAGAGAGAGAGAGAGAGAGAGCUUUGAAGGGGUAGGGAGAGAGAAGGAACGUAUAAUGGGAAACCAAAAGCAAAAAUGGACGGCGGAGGAGGAAGAAGGCCUACUGGCCGGAGUUGCAAAGCACGGCCCGGGCAAGUGGAAGAACAUUCUCAAAGAUCCCGAAUUUGCCUCUGUCCUAAUACACCGCUCCAAUAUCGACCUCAAGGAUAAGUGGAGGAACUUGAGUGUUAGUACUUCUGGACAUGGUUCUAAGGACAGACCAAGGGGUACAAAGGUAAAAAAUAGAGUGUCUGCCCAGCACCUUGUUCGUAACUCUGCUCCUACUGCUUCGGUUCGUCCCAAUGCAUCUCCUGCUUCAGCCCCUCCCAAUUCAUCUCCUGCUUCAGUUCGUCCGAGUGCAUCUCCUGCUUCAGUUUGUCCCAAUGCAUCUCCUGAUGCCAUGAUGGACGAUGCGGUUAAUAGUGCACCAGAAUUGAAAAGUGCUUCACAGUACGAUCCAAUGAUUUUCCAGGCCCUUUCAACGAUGAAAGAUAUGAAUGGAUCUGAUUUAGGUGCCAUUCUUAACUUUAUUGAGCAAAGGCAUGAGGUACCCGUACCACCAAAUUUCAGAAGGUUAUUGGGUCCAAGGUUGAGAAGGCUUGUUUCACAAGGAAAACUGGAAAAGGUACAAAAUGGCUACAAGUUAAAAAAAGAUGCAACAUUUGGAACAAAAACACCUACACUUACGCGAAAUCAAAGGGAUGUUAGGCCCCGGAAAUUGCAGAAUUCUGGAUCAAUGACAUUUACUGAAACAGUGCAGGAUGCAGCUGAAACUGCUGCCCAUAAACUUGCAGACGCUGAAGACAAAUCCUUUGUGGCUGCUGUUGCAAUGAAGGAAGCAGACAGGAUUUCAAAGAUGACAGAAGACAACGAGUCAAUUUUACAGCUAAUUGAAGAGAUUUAUGAACGAUGUUCACGUGGUGAAGUUGUCGCCUUGGCGUAGGUCAUCAACUGUAAGUCUGAUUAGUGGAUUCCUUGUAAUUUAUCCGUAUGUAAAUUCGUUGAUCCAAUCACACAGUUUAAGCUCUUUCCUUUUCAUGAAAAUGCAUCAGUAUGCGGUUAUACCAGAAGUCAAUUCCAUUUGGAUGGUGUCUUGAGUGUUCCUGGAUUCAACCUACAGCUAUCUGCUUCUAACAGUCCAAGUUAUCAGCAAGCUUCCCAUCGAGGAGGUGGUGGGCGGCUCCAUGCAGCAACUGCUGCUGCUGCUCAGAAUGGGGAAGCUCUUUGGAGUUUCCCGUCAGGUGGUGGGUGGCUCCACGCAGCAACUGCUGCUGCUGCACAAAAUGGGGAAGCUCUUUGGAGUUUCCCAUCAAACAGGUGGUGGGCGGCUCCAAGGGGUUGCACAACAGCCCACCAUGCCUACCAGGGACCUUAUAAAUAGAUUCUUCCACACAACUCAAGUGUAAUGAAUCACAUUAGGAAUCAAUUUAGGUGAAAGACCUAUCACCAGUAACAGCUUCACCAUGCGUUUUAUUUGCUUACAAAACUACCAAGUUGCUCCAUUUGCCAGCUUUCAUGAGAAGCAACAUGUUCAUGGAAAGGAGUGCAUUGCUGCCAAAAACA